GAGUCAAGAUUAGCUCUUGCAGAGAGGAGAUGGGUGUUUCUGAGUGUGACGCCUUCCUGUUUUCUGUAAAUUCUGUCACUUUUGCAGACAUAUUCUACUGGUUAUCUUGGAACUCGGAGUUCCCCAUCUUGAUUAUGAUGCUAUCAUCAUGAAACAUUUAUUGUGUGCCAACCUGAAGCUGCUAGAUAUUUUAUAUCGUCUCUCUCACCAUGAGCUAUGUGGUGUGUUCCAUUUUAUGGAAAAGAGCCUGGUCCUGAAAAGACCACAUGUUUUCUCAGUAAUACAGCUGGAUUCAAAGGGAGAAAUGGAGAUGUUUAUUUGAAGCAAAAGUCUUAUUUUGUGUCAAUUUUAAAUUGAUAACAUGCCUUGUUCCACAGUGAAUUAAGAAGAAACACUUUCCG
rnacentral:lncRNA from 1 species